GACGAACGCUGGCGGCGUGCUUAACACAUGCCAGUCGAACGAGAUCCCAUGUGUAGCAAUACACAGGAAGAUCUAGUGGCGAACGGGUGAGGAACACGUGAGAAACGUACCCCAGACUUUGGGAUAACAGUCCGAAAGGACUGCUAAUACCAAAUAACGUCGGAAGUCCGCAUGGACAUCUGACGAAAGGGAUUCCGGUUUGGGAGCGUCUCGCGGACCUAUCAGCUAGUUGGAGGGGUAACGGCCCUCCAAGGCAACGACGGGUAGCUGGUCUGAGAGGAUGGUCAGCCACACUGGGACUGAGACACGGCCCAGACUCCUACGGGAGGCAGCAGUGGGGAAUCUUGCGCAAUGGGCGAAAGCCUGACGCAGCAACGCCGCGUGCGGGAAGAAGGCUUUCGGGCUGUAAACCGCUUUCAGUAGGAACGAAACUGACGGUACCUACAGAAGAAGGAGCGGCCAACUAUGUG
rnacentral:rRNA from 1 species